AUAAAAAAGCUGAGGAUCUCAUUGCUCAAAAAAUAAUAAUAAUAAAAGGUGAUGAUUUUCUGUUGUUAUUCUUUAAUCGCAACCAGCCAACCAUUUUAUCCGUUCAAUGGAAAACAAGAGACUUCUGAAGUGUAAUCCCUUUUACAGAUAGAUAUCUUUCAAAUUCAAGAACUACCCCAAGGGAUUUCUCUUUCUCUGUUUGAUCAUUGGACUGUAUGCUAGAAUGGCCUCUGAAGGGUAACCAUUUCUCUUCCAUGGAUGAUUCAAAAUAUCCUACAAUAUGUUAAAGUUUUGUAUUUUCAAAUGGGCAACAUCCAUUACCUCAGUGUUAAUUUAUUUUCCUGUAGCAAAUUGCUUCUGGGGAAGUGCUCGCCACCCUAUGUCCCGCCGGUAAAACCCUCCUGGCCAGUUGAUUUCCUCAACUGCCAGAUAGGCUUUAUCCCUUGCCUCUUGAAGAUCACUUCCCUUGGCAGUAACCCCAAGCACCCGGCCCCCAGUAGCAAUGAAGUUGCCAUCUGCAUCCAAAGCAGUUCCAGCAUGAAAUAUCUGAACUGUUGGAGCAACAUUUGCAGCCUCUUCAAGGUUUCCAAUAACAGUCCCCUUCUCAUAGGAUCCAGGGUAGCCUUUACUUGCCAUUACCACCACCAUGGCAGACCCUGGGGACCAGUUCAGUGAUACUCCUCUUAACUCUCCUCUACAUGCAGCAAGCAGAACUUGAGCCAGAUCAGAUUCCAACCGAACCAUUAGUACCUGGCACUCUGGAUCGCCAAAUCGUACAUUGUACUCAAUUAACUUAGGCAAGCCAGACUUCUUCUCUAUCAUUAACCCAGCAUAUAAAACUCCAACAAACUUGCAACCCUCUGCUGUCAUUCCUUUCACUGUUGGGAGAAUUAUAGUUUCCAUAACUGCUGAUUGAAGUUCUUUUGUUAACACUGGUGCAGGAGAGUACGCACCCAUCCCACCGGUAUUAGGUCCGGUAUCACCAUCCCCAACACGCUUAUGGUCCUGAGCAGAUUCUAAGGGAAUAGCAGUCUCUCCAUCCACCAGUGCAAAGAAAGAUGCUUCUUCUCCUUCCAGAUAUUCCUCAACAAUGACACGGCAACCUGCAGAACCAAAAACUCCUUUCACAAGCAUUGAAUCCACAGCUUGAUAUGCCUCCUCCAACGUCAUAGCAACAAUAACCCCUUUCCCAGCAGCCAAUCCAUCUGCUUUGAUAACUAUAGGAGCUCCCUGGUCCUGAAUAUAUUGCUUUGCAGCAGAUGGAUCUGUAAAUGUUUGGUACUUUGCCGUAGGAAUUCCAUAUUUGUCACACAAGCUCUUCAUAAAGUUCUUUGAACCUUCCAAAGCUGCAGCCUCUGCAGAUGGGCCAAAAGUAGGGAUUCCAGCCUUCACUAGAUCAUUUGCAAGGCCAGCAACCAGAGGUGCCUCCGGUCCAACCACAACCAGUUCUACACUCCAUUUGCGGCAGAAUGAUAUCACAGCUGAGCUAUCAGAAAUGUCAAGGUCUGGAAUACAAGUGGCAUGCCCAGAGUUGGAAAUCCCUGCAUUGCCAGGAGCACAGAAGACAGCAUCACAAGAGGGAGAUCGUUGCAAUGCAUAACAAAGUGCAUGUUCUCUUCCCCCUCCACCAAUAACCAACACAAUCACUCUCUCUUCAGAAGCACCGUUUCCAUGGGCAUUAAUCGAAACUGACGGCUCUGAUUUUUGGGAAACACACUUAAACACGGAGGAAAACGACCUAUAGCCCUUGAUUACAUGGCGGAAAUAACAAUGAUUUUUGCUGUGACUGGAAAUCAAGGGCCCCGGAAAGAAGAAAGAAGAAGAGGAGUUGCCAAAGAAGCAAGAGAGACUGUUUGAUAAUGGCAAAGAGUUGGCGUUGGUGGAGUUGCCAUUGAGUUUCAGAGAAGGUAUCCGGUUUACAGUAACACAAGACAUCUCUAUUUUGUCCUCAAAAAAUACCCCCUGGAAUCCCAAGAAUUCUCAGCUCUGGCACUAGAAUUUGGAGGACGAGAAGGAAAAAGAAAGACAUGAAUUUUUAGGCUGUCGUUUAAGGCCUUUUAUGGACAAAACCUCCAGAAAGGAGCAGUGACGAGUGAGGGAGUGACGAGUAUGCAUAAAAGGGAGGAGAAAGAAAUGGCAAGUAAAUGCAAGACAAAAUCAAGAAAACGUUAGAAAGGUGCUUGGGCCGCCAUGGAAGAAUGGGAUUGCUGAUGUUGUGGUCCUCACUUCUCAGGCCGAUCCAUUCCUGGGUGACGAAUGACCAUGCUUGCAGUUUAAGGUCAGUGGGCAUUGAUAAAGAGAAAAUUUUAUUGAUUUUAUGGUGUCUUAAGCAUUUGUUUCAAGAAAAGUGGUGGCCUGAUGAUAAACUGGAUGAGGUGGUAUAGUCUAAUCCUCGAGUUCGAUCUAGU
rnacentral:misc_RNA from 1 species